rnacentral:rRNA from 1 species
UACAGGGGGGGCAAGCGUUGUUCGGAAUUACUGGGCGUAAAGGGCUCGUAGGUGGCCAACUAAGUCGGACGUGAAAUCCCUCAGCUUAACUGGGGAACUGCAUCCGAUACUGGAUGGCUUGAGUUUGGGAGAGGGAUGCGGAAUUCCAGGUGUAGCGGUGAAAUGCGUAGAUAUCUGGAGGAACACCGGUGGCGAAGGCGGCAUCCUGGACCAACACUGACACUGAGGAGCGAAAGCGUGGGGAGCGAACAGG